rnacentral:rRNA from 1 species
AGAGUUAAAUAGUACGUGAAAUUGUUGAAAGGGAAACGAUUGAAGUCAGUGUUGCUCUCUGAAAAUCAACUUGUCAGCAAUGGCGGGUGCACUUUUUAGUUGGCAGGUCAACAUUGGUUUGGUUCAGAGGAAAUUAGUAUGGAAAGGUGGCCAGCUCUUCGGAGUUGGUGUUAUAGUCCAUGCAAGUAUUCUGGGCUAGACCAAGGAACGCGAUGUAAGCUUAGCGUGCGAACGCGCCGCUGUGUAGAUUACGCUUGCUGGAUGCUUGCAAACUGUAGGUACAUUCUAUACACUGUCGUGCUAGCAACAUUACAUCUAGGAUGUUGACGAAAUGGUUUUAAACGACC